rnacentral:rRNA from 1 species
UACAGAGGGUGCGAGCGUUAAUCGGAAUUACUGGGCGUAAAGCGUGCGCAGGCGGUGAUGUAAGACAGUUGUGAAAUCCCCGGGCUCAACCUGGGAACUGCAUCUGUGACUGCAUCGCUGGAGUGCGGCAGAGGAGACUGGAAUUCCUGGUGUAGCAGUGAAAUGCGUAGAUAUCAGGAGGAAUACCGAUGGCGAAGGCAGGUCUCUGGGCUGACACUGACGCUCAUGCACGAAAGCGUGGGGAGCAAACAGG